AUCCGGACUCCGGCCCGGACUACGAGGCGCUGCCGGCUGGAGCCACUGUCACCACGCACAUGGUGGCAGGCGCCGUGGCAGGGAUCCUGGAGCACUGCGUGAUGUACCCCAUCGACUGCGUCAAGACCCGGAUGCAGAGUCUACAGCCUGACCCAGCUGCCCGCUAUCGCAAUGUGUUGGAGGCCCUCUGGAGGAUUAUAAGAACGGAGGGCCUAUGGAGGCCCAUGAGGGGGCUGAACGUCACAGCAACAGGCGCAGGGCCUGCCCACGCCCUUUAUUUUGCCUGCUACGAAAAGUUAAAAAAGACAUUGAGUGAUGUAAUCCACCCUGGGGGCAAUAGCCAUAUUGCCAAUGGUAUUGAGCCUUCCUGUGCUGGUUCCCCCACUUUCCCAACUCUUUGGGCUUUGCUGCUGUCAGUGCUUUCCAGUCUCAGCAUGGUUUGGAGCUGAAGCUUUGGGCUGGGAUAGGCCAGAUUAUAAGGGAGGGACUUCCAAACCUGAUGUUCUCAGACAACGGGCCGCUUCAACCCUGCCUUUUCCUUUGGGGCACCUCAACAAAGGGUUACAGUAUCCUCCCUUACC
rnacentral:sRNA from 1 species